GCAAAAUACUCAAAUAUUUUCAUACAAGGAAAAAAAGAGCAAGUCGGAACUAGUGUGGAAUUUUCGAUCAUCGGACAUGCAUUCAUGGUGAUUAUUUUCUCUGCCAUGUCCUUAUGCUCCAUUCCUGUACACAGCAAGAAAACAAACCUCUCUGGAUUCUUGUAACAUUCACAAUAUUGUCUGCAUAAAGGAACUGAGCAGACUGGCAGUACAAGGGUCACACCAGUUGGUUCACUUUAUCUUGGAGAAGCCUCUUCACAAGCUUCAAUUUCUGCUCAACAUCCAUCAUACGUUCUUCCAUCAUCUUUAGAAGCUGAGCAUGGCCCCCCUAAAAGGUGAACAGUUAUGUGAGAGUUUUCUUCAGCAAUGUAACUCACAAGCCAGCUGAAACAAUAAUUUACUGCAAUCAGAAUACCUGCAAAAAUCAGACACUGCAUUGCAAUUUCCCUGGAGCAGUUGGGAAGGGGAGGCAGCAGAUCACAA